rnacentral:rRNA from 1 species
CUGAGACACGAAUCCAGACCCUACGGGGUGCAGCAGGCGCGAAAACUUGGCAAUGCGAGCAAUCGUGACCAGGGAACUCCAAGUGGCUGGGGUAAUACCCAGUUUUUUCUUGACUCUUCAAAGGUCUUGGAAUAAGGGGUGGGUAAGGACGGUGCCAGCCGCCGCGGUAAUACCGGCGCCUCAAGUGGUAGUCGCUUUUAUUGGGCCUAAAACGUCCGUAGCCGGUCUGGUGCAUUCGUGGGUAAAUCAACCCGCUCAACGGGUUGAAUUCUGCGAGCACGGCCAGACUUGGGACCGGGAGAGGUGUGGGGUACUCUCAGGGUAGGGGUAAAAUCCUGUCAUCCUGAGAGGACCACCUGUUGCGAAGGCGCCACACUAGAACGGAUCCGACGGUCAGGGGCGAAACCUAGGGGCACGAACCGGAUUAGAUACCCGGGUAGUCCUAGGUGUAAACGCUGUGGACUUGAUGUUGGGGGCGCUCCGAGCGCUCUCAGUGUCGAAGCGAAGGUGAUAAGUCCACUGCCUGGGGAGUACGGUCGCAAGGCUGAAACUUAAAGGAAUUGGCGGGGGAGCACUGCAACCUGAGGAUUGUGCGGUUUAAUUGGACUCAACGCCGGAA